CAACACUGUUCACUCCCUGAACAGUAACUGCCUAUUAAACAGAAUCCAUGCAUACACCCUAUGAUGAAAAUGUUUGAGCCUAGAUGUGCUACAGAGAGGGAGAUCUAAAGUCUUUUGGAAGCUGAUGAACCCUGCAAACCUCUUGGUCUGAAAGACUACUGAUCACUGCACCUACAGGGAAGAGAAUGUAGGAUCACGGAACAGGGGACUUCGAGUACAGGCUCGCCUUCACUAAGUUCCCCUGGCAGGAUAUCUACUCUCUGGAAGAGUGGCAGUUUCAACGUUUUCAUGGCCUGGGAGCAUGCUGAUGGAGCAGAAAUAAUUCAGCCACUGAUGGAGAGAUGGCAAAUG